rnacentral:rRNA from 1 species
GCACAAGCGGUGGAGCAUGUGGUUUAAUUCGACGCAACGCGAAGAACCUUACCUGGGCUUGAACUACUCGUGGUAAGCAACUGGAAACAGAUGCUGACCCGCAAGGGAGCGAGCAGAGGUGCUGCAUGGUUGUCGUCAGCUCGUGUCGUGAGAUGUUGGGUUAAGUCCCGCAACGAGCGCAACCCCUAUUCGAUGUUGCUAAUCCCGCAAGGGAUGCACUCUUCGAAAACUGCCUUCGAUAAGAAGGAGGAAGGUGGGGACGACGUCAAAUCCUCAUGGCCCUUAUGUCCAGGGCUACACACGUGCUACAAUGGCCGGUACAAUGGGAAGCAAUACCGCAAGGUGGAGCAAAACUCAAAAAGCCGGCCCCAGUUCAGAUCGUGGGCUGCAACUCGCCCGCGUGAAGGCGGAAUCGCUAGUAAUCGCUGAUCAGCAGGCAGCGGUGAAUACGUUCCCGGGC